rnacentral:rRNA from 1 species
AGAGUUUGAUCCUGGCUCAGAUUGAACGCUGGCGGCGUGCUUAACACAUGCAAGUCGUGCGAGAAAGGGGACUUCGGUCCCUGAGUAGAGCGGCGCACGGGUGAGUAACGCGUGGAUAAUCUCCCCAGAAGUUCGGGAUAACGGCGGGAAACUGCCGCUAAUACCGGAUACGCUCCAAUUUCGGUUGGGGGAAAGGCGGCCUCUGUUUACAAGCUGUCGCUUCUGGAUGAGUCCGCGUCCCAUUAGCUUGUUGGUGGGGUAAUGGCCUACCAAGGCUACGAUGGGUAGCUGGUCUGAGAGGAUGAUCAGCCACACUGGAACUGAAACACGGUCCAGACUCCUACGGGAGGCAGCAGUGGGGAAUAUUGCGCAAUGGGGGAAACCCUGACGCAGCGACGCCGUGUGAGGGAUGAAGGCUUUCGGGUCAU